UACGUAGGGUGCAAGCGUUAAUCAGAAUUACUGGGCGUAAAGCGUGCGCAGGCGGCUUUGCAAGACAGAUGUGAAAUCCCCGGGCUUAACCUGGGAACUGCAUUUGUGACUGCAUGGCUAGAGUGCGGCAGAGGGGGAUGGAAUUCCGCGUGUAGCAGUGAAAUGCGUAGAUAUGCGGAGGAACACCGAUGGCGAAGGCAAUCCCCUGGGCCUGCACUGACGCUCAUGCACGAAAGCGUGGGGAGCAAACAGG
rnacentral:rRNA from 1 species